rnacentral:rRNA from 1 species
GAUGAACGCUGUCUACAGGCUUAACACAUGCAAGUCGAGGGGAAACGACGGGGAAGCUUGCUUCCCCGGGCGUCGACCGGCGCACGGGUGAGUAACGCGUAUCCAACCUGCCUCUGACUGAGGGAUAACCCGUCGAAAGUCGGCCUACUACCUCAUGGCAUCGUCUGCGGGCAUCCAACGACGAUUAAAGAUUUCAUCGGUCAGGGAUAGGGAUGCGUCUGAUUAGCUUGUUGGCGGGGUAACGGCCCACCAAGGCUACGAUCAGUAGGGGUUCGGAGAGGAAGGUCGCUGACAUGGGAACAGAGACACGGACAAAACGACUAAGGGAGGGAGCAGUGAGGAAUGGGAGGCAAUGGGCGGGAACAUGAAACAGCGAAGGAGAGUGCAGGAUGACGGCCCUAUGGGUUGUAAACUGCUUUUAUGCGGGGAUAAAGUGAGGGACGGGGCCGUCAUUGAAGGUACCGCAUGAAUAAGGACCGGCUAAUUCCGUG